rfam:Stegodyphus mimosarum contig101494, whole genome shotgun sequence.
GCCUUCGUGGCGUAGUGGUCAGCACGCUCGACUCGUAACCGAGAGCUCCGUAGUUCGAAUCCCGGCGAAGACG